rnacentral:rRNA from 1 species
AACCCGGAAACUGCACUGAAAACUAUUUAACUAGAGGAUCGGAGAGGAGAUUGGAAUUCUCAGUGUAGCAGUGAAAUGCGUAGAUAUUGAGAGGAACACCAGUUGCGAAGGCGGAUCUCUGGACGAUUCCUGACGCUGAGGCACGAAAGCUGGGGGAGCGAAGAGGAUUAGAUACCCUCGUAGUCCCAGCCGUAAACGGUGCGCACUUGCUGUGGGCGGAUUCGACCCCGUCCGUGGCGAAGCUAACGCGUUAAGUGCGCCGCCUGGGGAGUACGGUCGCAAGAUUAAAACUCAAAGAAAUUGACGGGGGCCUGCACAAGCGGUGGAGUAUGUGGCUUAAUUCGAUGCAACGCGAAGAACCUUACCUGGCCUUGACAUGUAGUGGCCCGGGUGCGAAAUCACCCUUUUCUUCGGAACUGCUACACAGGUGCUGCAUGGCUGUCGUCAGCUCGUGUCGUGAGAUGUUGGGUUAAGUCCCGCAACGAGCGCAACCCCCGUGUUCUGUUGCCACCCGGAUGAGAAUCCGGAGCACUCUGGACAGACUGCCUGGUUUCAACCAGGAGGAAGGUGGGGAUGACGUCAAGUCAGUAUGGCCCUUACGGCCAGGGCUGCACACGUACUACAAUGCCCGGUACAAUGGGAAGCGAGACCGCGAGGUGGAGCAAAUCCUAAAAACCGGGCCCAGUUCAGAUUGUAGGCUGCAACUCGCCUACAUGAAGGAGGAAUCGCUAGUAAUGCCGUAUCAGCUACGACGGCGUGAAUACGUUCCCAGGCCUUGUACACACCGCCCGUCACAUCAUGA